AUGGAAAAGCAGCUUCUCUCACGCAAAGGUGUGUUCAGCAGGUUUCCCUGGGUUAAAGGAGAAAGGCUGGAUGCAGGAUAAAAAGAAAAAUGCUUUGCUCCAUGAACGUGGAUUCUGAAGGGUGUAUUUGACUGAGGAGACAACUGUAAAUUCCCUUGGGAAUUGGUCCUUGCUCUGAUUAUUGCCACAAAAGUCCUGCUGUCAAACAGAUUCAAACACAUUUCACAAUUAAUGUGAAGAGGCUCCAGUUACACCGCAAACGAGUGUGAUUGCUCCUCAGGAUUAAGGAUGUUUUUCUGUGGCUGAACUGAAGCAUCUGUCCCCAGGGCUGGAGGCUGGGUAUUGCCACAGCUGACCUUCUCUCCAUAGCUCUUGCUGCUGCUUAUCCUCCAAGAUGAAUCUGAAAGAGAAAACAACUGCUCAGUUGCUACAAAUCAUAGGAAGACUCUGGUGAGAAAAUCUCCAUAAAAGACUUCGGAAAAGAUACAUGUCUUAAGGCAGAACUUGAGGAAAAGCAGAAGACUUGGCACAGAAGCCGCAGAAGGCUUUUUCCAUGUGUAGGAACUUGCAAGGAUGGCAGGAGGCUACAGAGAGCAGACUUGAAACCCUGUGAAAAGAAGAAAUAAGCAAA